UAACCUGGUUGAUCCUGCCAGUAGUCAUAUGCUUGUCUCAAAGAUUAAGCCAUGCAUGUCUAAGUAUAGAGGUUUAUACAAUGAAACUGCGAAUGGCUCAUUCAAACAGUUAUAGUUUAUUUGAUAUUCGAAUUUAUAUUCAUAAUGGAUAACCGUAGUAAUUCUAGAGCUAAUACAUGCGUUACGGGGGACUUUUUGGAACCCCAGUAUUUAUUAAUUCUUCUUUAAACCAGUGCCUCGCAAGGGGCGUUGUGGUGAUUCAUGAUAACUGAUCGAAUCGCUGGGUCGUACCCGCGAUAACUCAUUCAAGUUUCUGCCCCAUCAGCUUGAUGGUAGUGUAUUGGACAACCAUGGCUUUCACGGGUAACGGGGGAUUAGGGUUCGAUUCCGGAGAGGGAGCCUGAUAAACGGCUACCACUUCUACGGAAGGCAGCAGGCGCGUAAAUUAUCCAAUCCUGAUUUAGGGAGGUAGUGACAAGAAAUAAUGAACUGGGAUUUAUCCCGGGGUUACAAUGGGCUUGAUUUGCAAACCUUAUUUUUAGCGAGGAACAAUUGGAGGGCAAGUCUGGUGCCAGCAGCCGCGGUAAUUCCAGCUCCAAUAGUGUAUAUUAAAGUUGUUGCAGUUAUACAAAGCUCGUAGUUGGACUUCUGAAGGUGGAGACUGGCGGGUGGCUAUGGCUGCUGCCGGUCGCUUCCUUCAUCCUUCUGUUAACAAGGAUCGGGAUUGAUUUUUCGGCCUUGGGCUCAGAUAUUUUACCUUUUAUUUGAGCAAAUUAUAGUGUUUCAGGCAGGCGUGCGCCGGAAUACAUUAGCAUGGAAUAAUCGAAUAGGACCGUGUUUCUUUUAUGGUUUCUUGAGGGGCAUGGUAAUGAUUAAUAGGAAUAGUUGAGGGGGCUAAAGUAUUUAAUUUCCAGAGGUGAAAUUCUUUGAAAUAUUAAAGACUAACGUAUGCGAAAGCAUUUGCCAAGAAUUUUUCUUUUAAUCAAGAACGAAAGUUAGGGGAUCAAAGACGAUCAGAUACCGUCCUAGUCUUAACCAUAAACUAUGCCGACUAGGGAUCGGGGGACGUGCACAUUCCGCCUUCGGCACCUUACGAGAAAUCAAAGUCUUUGGGUUCUGGGGGUAGUAUGGUCGCAAGGCUGAAACUUAAAGGAAUUGACGGAAGGGCACCACCAGGAGUGGAGCUUGCGGCUCAAUUUGACUCAACACGGGAAAACUUACCAGGUCCAGACAUAGGAAGGAUUGACAGAUUGAUAGCUCUUUCUUGAUUCUAUGGGUGGUGGUGCAUGGCCGUUCUUAGUCGGUGGUGUGAACUGUCUGGUUAAUUCCGUUAACGAACGAGACCUCAGCC
rnacentral:rRNA from 1 species